rnacentral:rRNA from 1 species
AGAAUCAACGCUGGCGGCGUGCCUAACACAUGCAAGUCGCACGAGAAAGGGUAGCAAUACCUGAGUACAGUGGCGCACGGGUGAGUAACACGUGAAUAAUCUACCUCCGAGUGGGGAAUAACUGAGAGAAAUCUUAGCUAAUACCGCAUAACACUUACGAGUCAAAGCAGCAAUGCGCUUGGAGAGGAGUUCGCGGCAGAUUAGUUAGUUGGCGGGGUAAUGGCCCACCAAGACGAUGAUCUGUAUCCGGCCUGAGAGGGCGCACGGACACACUGGAACUGAAACACGGUCCAGACUCCUACGGGAGGCAGCAGUGGGGAAUUUUGCGCAAUGGGGGAAACCCUGACGCAGCAACGCCGCGUGGAGGAUGAAAUAUCUUGGUAUGUAAACUCCUUUCGAUGGGGAAGAUUAUGACGGUACCCAUAGAAGAAGCCCCGGCUAACUUCGUGCCAGCAGCCGCGGUAA